UAUAUUUUCCGAUAUUUUCUUUCAGAUUUCGCAGUUUUGUUCUCGGUAUUUUAUCAUUAACCACAUUCUAUCUUUAAUUUCAAAAAUGAUUCUAAAUGAAAUGUAAUUGCUGUGAGGUAUUGAAAUAAAUUAUUUUCACCAUCAAAACCUAAUAAAAUGAUACACAAGUGGUGGCAUAGGUUUGUUCGGCGAAGAACCAAGCCCAUCCCUGAAGAUCAAGCUGUUUUAUGGAAACGCCGGCUUAGCAUAGCUUACGGUCUGUUAGCUUGGAAUGCAUUUGGUUUGGUUGCGUAUAGUGCUUACCAGGGCAAAGCAGAUUGGGCUCAUUAUUAUGGACUAAAAACAGACGAAGAAGCUUCCGCGCCACCAGGUCUGGCAUGGGCUAAAACUCUAGGAAUAAAGAAUGCAAAGGUCUAUAGAAUUUCUGGAUUCACUAAAGUUGAUGAAUAUGAUAUUGUAGAAGGUGAAAGAGUCCAAAACAACAACAAUGAGAAGAAACAUGAUGACGAAAUUCUGCAGGAAUAAAAAGUAUUUCCUAUAGUUUUUUUUUGUAGAUUGAUGUAAAUAUAUAAUUUAAUUACAAGUACA
rnacentral:lncRNA from 1 species